UACGUAGGGUGCGAGCGUUAAUCGGAAUUACUGGGCGUAAAGCGUGCGCAGGCGGUUCUAUAAGACAGAUGUGAAAUCCCCGGGCUCAACCUGGGAACUGCAUUUGUGACUGUAGAGCUGGAGUACGGCAGAGGGGGAUGGAAUUCCGCGUGUAGCAGUGAAAUGCGUAGAUAUGCGGAGGAACACCGAUGGCGAAGGCAAUCCCCUGGCCUGUACUGACGCUCAUGCACGAAAGCGUGGGGAGCAAACAGG
rnacentral:rRNA from 1 species